UACGUAGGUGGCAAGCGUUGUCCGGAUUUACUGGGCGUAAAGAGCGCGCAGGCGGUCGGAUUAGUCGCGUGUGAAAGCCCCCGGCUCAACUGGGGAGGGUCACGCGAUACUGUUCGACUCGAAGGCAGGAGAGGGAAGUGGAAUUCCCGGUGUAGUGGUGAAAUGCGUAGAUAUCUGGAGGAAUACCGGUGGCGAAGGCGGCAUCCUGGACCGGCAUUGACGCUGAGGAGCGAAAGCUAGGGGAGCAAACGGG
rnacentral:rRNA from 1 species